rnacentral:rRNA from 1 species
AUACGUAGGGGGCGAGCGUUGUCCGGAAUGAUUGGGCGUAAAGGGCGCGUAGGCGGCCCGGUAAGUCUGGAGUGAAAGUCCUGUUUUUAAGAUGGGAAUUGCUUUGGAUACUGUCGGGCUUGAGUGCAGGAGAGGUAAGUGGAAUUCCCAGUGUAGCGGUGAAAUGCGUAGAGAUUGGUAGGAACACCAGUGGCGAAGGCGGCUUACGGGACUGUAACGGACGCUGAGGCGCGAAAGUGUGGGGAGCAAACAGGAUUAGAUACCCUGGUAGUCCACCCUGUAAACGAUGAAUACUAGGUGUGCGGGGACUGACCCCCUGCGUGCCGGCGUUAACGCAAUAAGUAUUCCACCUGGGGAGUACGAUCGCAAGGUUGAAACUCAAAGGAAUUGACGGGG